GACGUAGGGCGCGAGCGUUGUCCGGAAUCAUUGGGCGUAAAGCGCGCGUAGGUGGCCCCAUAAGUCCGCUGUGAAAGUCAAAGGCUCAACCUUUGAAAGCCGGUGGAUACUGUGGGACUAGAGUACGGAAGAGGCGAGUGGAAUUCCUGGUGUAGCGGUGGAAUGCGCAGAUAUCAGGAGGAACACCAAUAGCGAAGGCAGCUCGCUGGGACGUUACUGACACUGAGGCGCGAAAGCGUGGGGAGCGAACAGG
rnacentral:rRNA from 1 species